rnacentral:rRNA from 1 species
UGAACUCCACAUCCGCAUCCUUUGCUGAGGAUACGGUUAACGGAGCGAAAGCGACGUUCAACCGCAAAACAAGCAGAGGGGGCUUAGUGGUGGGGUGACUGCGUACCUUUUGUAUAAUGGGUCAGCGACUUAUAUUCUGUAGCAAGGUUAACCGAAUAGGGGAGCCGGAGGGAAACCGAGUCUUAAUUGGGCGUUAAGUUGCAGGGUAUAGACCCGAAACCCGGUGAUCUAGCCAUGGGCAGGUUGAAGGUUGGGUAACACUAACUGGAGGACCGAACCGACUAAUGUUGAAAAAUUAGCGGAUGACCUGUGGCUGGGGGUGAAAGGCCAAUCAAACCGGGAGAUAGCUGGUUCUCCCCGAAAGCUAUUUAGGUAGCGCCUCGUGAAUUCAUCUCCGGGGGUAGAGCACUGUUUCGGCUAGGGGGCCAUCCCGGCUUACCAACCCGAUGCAAACUGCGAAUACCGGAGAAUGUUAUCACGGGAGACACACGGCGGGUGCUAACGUCCGUCGUGAAGAGGGAAACAACCCAGACCGCCAGCUAAGGUCCCAAAGUCAUGGUUAAGUGGGAAACGAUGUGGGAAGGCCCAGACAGCCAGGAUGUUGGCUUAGAAGCAGCCAUCAUUUAAAGAAAGCGUAAUAGCUCACUGGUCGAGUCGGCCUGCGCGGAAGAUGUAACGGGGCUAAACCAU